UUAUUUCGCAGGAGCACACACGAUCGGGCAGGCGCAGUGCCAGAAUUUCAGGGACAGGAUCUACAACGAGACCAACAUCGAUUCCGCCUUCGCGACGCAACGCCAGGCCAACUGCCCACGGCCGACGGGCAGCGGCGACAGCAACCUGGCGCCGCUGGACACGACGACGCCCAACGCCUUCGACAACGCCUACUACAGCAACCUGCUGUCCAACAAGGGGCUCCUGCACUCCGACCAGGUGCUCUUCAACGGCGGCAGCGCGGACAACACGGUCAGGAACUUCGCGUCCAACGCGGCGGCGUUCAGCAGCGCCUUCACGACGGCCAUGGUGAAGAUGGGGAACAUCUCGCCGCUGACCGGGACGCAGGGGCAGAUCAGGCUCAGCUGCUCCAAGGUGAACUCCUAAUUAAGGAGUAGUAUGACGGGAUGCGUUCGUUGCUGGAAGCAAAUCGUGUCGACGACGACAUAAACGGGCCACACCACAUAUACCCAUAUAUGUAGUAUAACCACAAGUAUAGGUACGGUGGUGUUGUACUAGUACACGUAAAGUAUAUGGCAGCCAGCUCGCUCUAGCAAUCCAUCAAGUGUAUGGAGCAGAGCAGCCAUGGCAUUAGCACCUAGUAUACCAAAAUAAAAGCUCCUCAUGCGAAGGCAUGCAUGGAGGAUUAAUGAACUGUUACCUUCACACACAUGUCCGUUCACAACUUCUCCAGACUUUUACGGUACAUCAAGCUCCGUUUUUUCAAGUAAACAACACUAGAUUAUGUUUUUUCAUUAGAUAGAGAAAAAAUAAAUACAACCUGCCCCUAGGAGCGAAAAAAAGAAGAAGAAAAAGCCCGUCUUUACAAAUUAUAUACUGAUAGGUAAUAACUCUCUAAGUCAUUUUGUUCCUGCCAUAGUCCAAGUCUUCUUCCUCUAUUUUUGCUAGGAGGGUUAUUGUCGUGGUCUCCUUGUUAGAAAUUUUGUUGGUUCCUCUCCUUCCGUAUCUUCUAGACGACAAGGAGAAUUAGGGAGCGCAAUCCCCGCUUUGGCAUAAAUGUCGUGUUUGGCACACACAUUGAUAGGGGUGGCUAACAAGCCGACUCGGCUCGACUCGUAAAAACUCAUUAAGUUAAUGAGCUAGCUUGGCUCGACUCGUUAACAUAACGAGUUAAAAAUGGAACUCGACUCGACUCAUUAAAAAGUCCGAGUUGACUCAUUAAACGUGUUACACCAAAAAACAUGGUUUGAAAUUCAUAUGCAAUAUAAUUUGUGAUUCUAUGACAAAAAUUAUGAUUGGCGUGCUAUGUAUCAUGGCUCAUAAGAUUGUACUACAAUGUAUAAUUAUGAGUAUAUGACUUUUACACCUGUAAAAUAUGAACAAUUAACUUCUAUCUUAGUGUAUCAUGAGCUCAACGAGCUAAUCGAGUAACUCACGAGCUAGCUCGAGUUGGCUCGUUAAGUAAACGAGUAAAAGUUCAAACUCAUUAACUACUCGAGUUAAGUCGAGCCGAGCCGAGUUUUACACAAGUUGAGCUAGCUCGUAAGUUCGAUUUUUUUUCCACCCCUGCACAUCGAGCUCUGUUUCGCUAUUGAUGUUGGUUGACACGGUGAACUUUGACUCUUUGAGUAUCAAUUAUCAAACGGUGUACUCCUACCGUCUUACGUGCCAUUGCCAUCCCGCGCGGCCGCACCGUCCCAAACUCCCACCGACGCAAGCAAGCGCCGCCCUUCCGCUUGGGCCGUUUUACGCCCGAAUGGUCCGAGACCUACCUAUUGGGCCUUUGGACCGUGUGACGCCACAUUUCGCUCGCAGUGUCUGUCAGACCAGGGAUGGUGGCCCGUGGGCGCUGAGCAGGCCGGCCUUUCAUUUAGUUCGUGUCACCUGUAGGCGGCUAGGCCGGAGGGAAACUAACGUACACUUUUGUUGUUAUUUAUAACUUUAUCGACUAUAAAUUUUGAUAAGCAACAAAUCAAACAUGCCAUAAUCAAUUAGGCAAAAUUCAGUAAUUUACCUUAGCAAAAUUUAGUAAUGGAAAAAUUAGGAAAAACUAAAGUUAUAUUCCCUCCUCCUCAAAAAGAAUACAAUUUUAGAUUUUAAAUUUAUUCCAACAUAUAACGUACUCUAUAGUAUUGCUUUUUCGUCCAACCACCACUCAUUCACCCAUAUAUUACUAACCUAGCUACUCCACCAUUCCCAACUGUCCCUCAUUUGAUGAGUGGUCGAGUAUUUUUCCUAUACUAUACUAGUUUGUCUUUUAAAUAUUACAAUUGUAUUUUUCUUUUUUAGAAUUGAGGUAGUAAAUUUGUAAACAAAGUGAACAGGCCACCAACCUACUAGGUGGACCACUGUACACGAUAAUAUUAUUUGUGCUAUUGUGUUUAUUUUAAUCUAAGUUGCAAAUCAAGAGAGUAUUUUAUUUCAUUCAAAAAGGAAUAAUUUGUGAAACACUCAGCAACUGUAUAAUAUUAGCCGUGAAACUCGGUUAACCAUAAUUUUUUUUCAAAGGAACUAUACGAUAAUUUAAUUAUUUUACUAUCCGCAUUUUAUGGCUUAAGAAACAAGAGUAACAUACGGCACAUGCAACAACCACCAUUCUAGCUAGAGCUAGAAAUGUCGGCCCAACUUGUGAUAGCUAAUUACGUUCGAAUGGAAAAUCAUAUCACCAACAUGCAUGGUUUAAUCAUGGCAACGCUGAUGCGAAAGCUCUCGCAGAUCUAUUAUUUUUUCCCUGGAGAUUGAUCGAAAAUGAUGGCACAACGGUAUGUAAUGCUAUAACAGCAUAUAUUGUCUUGUAACACACCGUUUGCACUUAAAUUAGACAAUUAGUCCGAACGUACAUAAGAAGAUGAAUUGCGAUAGACCAUUCUAGCUCGUCACGAGCUGAAUAGUUCUCGCACUAUUAUACCCGAGAUCAAUUAGCAGAGUAUUAAUAAGGUAAAGUUAUUUUCAUAAACUCUGUACGACGAUAGUGCAUACAUACCAAUCUUUAACAAAGGGACAAAUUAUCGACGGCAUUUGUAUGUUCAUGUGCUAUUCUAUGGCACGGGUGCUCUUUUUUUUUGGCUUAAGCAACGCGUGAUUAAUGGUUAACAGAUUAAGGUCAAGCGAAAUGGACCGAACUGACCCUACAUUGCAUGAAUAAUGCAGAGGUGAUGAUGUUGGCCGUAGGCCGUACGUAGAAACUUAUGUUGGACACACAUGUAAGUACUAGUAGUCUAGUAGCACUAAUAAAGUUAACUAAUAAAUUAUAUAUGAUGUCACUUUAAAAAAUACAGAUUCAAAUUCGAUAUAUUGAAGUUGAACAAAUUAAAUUCUAGCUAGUUAGUAUGCACACAUUCACACUCAUAUUUGUUUUUGUGUUGUAAUUUAUAGAAGUUAAAAUUCAACUUGCAAUUUGUUAGUAAAAACAUAACUAUUUAGAUGACUAGAAACAUAUCCUUCUGUUGUAAUGUGCCAGGCUCAUAUAAGUAGAAAUAUGCUAUUAGAAAAUUAGAGAUAGUACUCUGUGCGUGGUGGGAGGAGGGAUGAAAAAAUGACGAGUUCGAUUUUAAGGUAGUAGAGAUAUGUACAAAGCAAUAGGAUAUUCCUAUUGAGAUUAAAAUACAUUCCCCUGCCCAGCUCCCCUCGUAUGAUUAAUGUACCUGCAUAUUUCGUCUCAUCUCGGCACCAAUCGAUGGCGUCAAGCCUGUAGCUAAGCUAGCUAUAUAAGAUGCAGCGUGGCACCAGCCUCUCUUGCAAGCCACGGCCAGCGAAAAAGCUUAAAAAAAACUGCAGUUAUUUAGGUAGGAUUAAGCAUACGCGCACGGCGCAUCAUAUCGCUCACUCUGCAUGGCUUCGGCUUCUUCUGUCAGCUUAAUGCUGCUCGUGGCUGCAGCUAUGGCCUCAGCCGCCUCGGCGCAGCUGUCGGCGACGUUCUACGACACGUCGUGCCCAAACGCAUUGUCCACCAUCAAGAGCGCAGUGACGGCCGCCGUGAACAGCGAGCCCCGAAUGGGAGCCUCGCUGGUCAGGCUGCACUUCCACGACUGCUUCGUCCAAGCAAGUUUUGAUCACCUAAUCUAAUCAGCUGUACAAGUAGUUCUCCUUAGACUGUACUUUGAGACAAGGAAAUUAAUAACAGAGGAUGUAUCUAUGGACUUCACUGAUGAUGCAGGGCUGUGACGCGUCUGUUCUGCUGUCCGGCCAGGAGCAGAAUGCAGGCCCGAACGCUGGGUCACUUCGGGGAUUCAACGUCGUCGACAACAUCAAGACGCAGGUCGAGGCCAUCUGCAGCCAGACCGUCUCCUGCGCCGACAUCCUCGCCGUCGCCGCCCGUGACUCCGUCGUCGCGGUAAGAUCACGGAUGAGAUUACUACAUGAUGCAUAUAUUUCUUGUAGACUGUAGUAGUACGUACUCCUAAUCGCUCUUGGUUUGGUUUGGAAUCCUUAUAUUUGCAGCUCGGAGGGCCGUCGUGGACGGUUCUAUUGGGAAGAAGGGACUCCACCACUGCGAACGAAAGCCAAGCAAAUACCGACCUCCCUGCCCCUUCCUCUAGCCUCGCUGAACUUAUCGGCAAUUUCUCCAGAAAGGGACUCGACGUAACCGACAUGGUUGCUCUCUCAGGUACAUAUAUAUGUACACAGAUUAUAUCAGUGAUUGAUUCUCUUACAAAUUUUCUGAUAAGAAUCAUAAUACGAUGAGAACUUGCAGGCGCACACACGAUCGGGCAGGCGCAGUGCCAGAACUUCAGGGACAGGCUCUACAACGAGACAAACAUCGACUCCAGCUUCGCGACGGCGCUCAAGGCCAACUGCCCACGGCCGACGGGCAGCGGCGACAGCAACCUGGCGCCGCUGGACACGACGACGCCCAACGCCUUCGACAGCGCCUACUACACCAACCUGCUGUCCAACAAGGGCCUCCUGCACUCCGACCAGGUGCUCUUCAACGGCGGCAGCACGGACAACACGGUCAGGAACUUCUCCUCCAACACGGCGGCGUUCAACAGCGCCUUCACGGCGGCCAUGGUGAAGAUGGGGAACAUCUCGC
rnacentral:lncRNA from 1 species